UACGAAGGGGGCUAGCGUUGCUCGGAAUUACUGGGCGUAAAGUGUGCGCAGGCGGCUUCGCAAGUCGAGUGUGAAAUCCCCGAGCUUAACUUGGGAAUUGCGCUCGAAACUACGGAGCUGGAGUGUGGCAGAGGAAGGUGGAAUUCCACGUGUAGCGGUGAAAUGCGUAGAGAUGUGGAGGAACACCGAUGGCGAAGGCAGCCUUCUGGGCCAACACUGACGCUCAUGCACGAAAGCGUGGGGAGCAAACAGG
rnacentral:rRNA from 1 species